UAGGGAAUCUUCCGCAAUGGGCGAAAGCCUGACGGAGCAACGCCGCGUGAGUGAUGAAGGUCUUCGGAUCGUAAAACUCUGUUAUUAGGGAAGAACAAAUGUGUAAGUAACUAUGCACGUCUUGACGGUACCUAAUCAGAAAGCCACGGCUAACUACGUGCCAGCAGCCGCGGUAAUACGUAGGUGGCAAGCGUUAUCCGGAAUUAUUGGGCGUAAAGCGCGCGUAGGCGGUUUUUUAAGUCUGAUGUGAAAGCCCACGGCUCAACCGUGGAGGGUCAUUGGAAACUGGAAAACUUGAGUGCAGAAGAGGAUAGUGGAAUUCCAUGUGUAGCGGUGAAAUGCGCAGAGAUAUGGAGGAACACCAGUGGCGAAGGCGACUUUCUGGUCUGUAACUGACGCUGAUGUGCGAAAGCGUGGGGAUCAAACAGG
rnacentral:rRNA from 1 species